rnacentral:pre_miRNA from 1 species
CUGGUACUCCCUCCGUUCGGAAUUACUUGUCGUAGAAAUGAAUGUAUCUAGAUGUAUUUUAGUUCUAGAUACAUCCAUUUCUGAGACAAGUAAUUCCGAACGGAGGGAGUAGAAU